UACGUAGGUGGCAAGCGUUGUCCGGAUUUACUGGGCGUAAAGAGCGCGCAGGCGGUUCAUCAAGUCGGAAUGUGAAAGCCCCCGGCUUAACUGGGGAGGGUCAUUCGAUACUGCUGAACUUGAAGGCAGGAGAGGGAAGUGGAAUUCCCGGUGUAGUGGUGAAAUGCGUAGAUAUCGGGAGGAACACCAAUGGCGAAGGCAGCUCGCUGGGACGGUACUGACGCUGAUUGGUGCGAAAGCUGAGGGGAGCCGAACGGGG
rnacentral:rRNA from 1 species